UAAACCAAUAAAUCCAAAUCGGACAAUACGUGCAAAUAUUGAAAACUAACAAAAAGCAAAGACAACUAAAAUGGCAAAUCCUACCACAGCUAUCAGAUAUUCACUUGAAUCAAAUGAUCGGGCAAAUCAAAGAAUUGCCAUAUUUUGAUGGAAACCCAGCGGAGCUAAGUCGGUACAUUGCCAGGGUUGAGUACCUUCUACAACUAUACCCUACUCAAGAUGACAGACAAACUCACAUCAUAUAUGGAGCCAUCGAAAGGACCAUUGUCGACUCAGCGCAAGCAGUCAUCGAAGAAGGAAAAUCUAACGCUUGGUUAACUACAAAGGCAACUCUAAUCAUGGUCUUCAAAGACCACAGGCCUCACGAAGACAUCAUCCAGCACAUCCGGGACACCCCAUACCAAGGAAGCAUCAAAUGAAUUUACUGAUGCUGAUGUUAUAUGGACCAUCUUUAAAACCUUAGAAUACUUUUCUGGUUCACUACACGACUGCGACUGCGAAUGUGGACCUCCUAAUUUAUCAUGGCUUACAAGCUAAACACAGAAACUUUUUAUUAUAUUUAAGACCGUUAACGUCGCGAAUAAAAAAUAGUUAAAAAAAUGA